GUCCGCACCGUAACGAUGAUCACUCGUGUUGGCGAUACACAGUCAGCGACUAAGCGAAGCAUUAAGUGAUCCACCUGGGAAGUACGACCGCAAGGUUGAACUCAAGGAAUUGACGGGCCCGCACAAGCGGAGGAGCAUGUGGUUAAUUCGAUGGUACGCGAGGAACCUUACCUGGGCUUGAAAGACAGUUGACCGUUUCCGAAGGAGACUUUUCGCAAGAACAACUGUCUAGGUGCUGCAUGGCUGUCGU
rnacentral:rRNA from 1 species